AGCAUGUGCUAGCAGUUGCUUUUUAGAGCACCCACUUCACUUCUCCCAUGUAGUACCUGAGUGCAGGACUCUCCUGAAGAAGGGGCUUCUAAAUGGCCAGCCCAUGCAUCUUGUUCAGACCAGGCUGCUCCAUCCCUGCUAAGCCCAGGGAUCCACUUGUGUGUCUUUCUGGGAUCAUUGCCUUUCGUGGCAGCCUGGGCCUCAGGGAAGGAAGGGCACAAGGAGCAGCCCUGGCUGGGAUGUCAGGGGCCUAGGAAAAUUCCUGCCUCUACCAAGAAAUUGCCCCCUCUUUUCAGAGGCUGCCUUGUCCUAGAUAUCUGAUGUCCCGCCCUUGCAGUUUCCAACUCCAGAUGUAGAACCUCGUCGUGACAUUUCCCAGAAGCCAUGACAUGUCCCUGCAGCUGGAGGCCUUUCAAGCGUGGCCCAGGAGGCCUCAGAGGCCUGAUGCAGCCUGCAAAGGAAGGUAGCCUCCUGUCCUUUGUCUCUAUUUUUGUCUUUGAUCACAACUUCUCUCCUGUUGUCCCUUUGGAAUGGCAGCAUCAUUCUGCAGCUUCUCGGUCAGCAUGGGUUACAGAGAAGAGCUGUUCUCACGGAAGGAUCCAAAGGGCUCAAAGGCGAAGGGUGCCAUCUGCUUCUCCGCUGAUUCAGAAGAUAAAGAGGAGAAGUGUCCUGUUUCAUCCAUAUUGCUGGUCCUGAUUUUUCAAUAGUGUCCCUUACCCUGAAGCUCUUCCAUUGGCCAUCAUGGGGUUAGCUAACAGCCCAGGAAACUGGUCUCUUUUCCUUUCCCCUUACCACCUGGAACUCAACUGGAAAGGGCAAUCAGAUGACUCUAUAUCAGGCCCCACCACCUGGUCUUUGAAGUUUCUGUCCUACCAGUGCCACAGCUCCCUCUUCCACUUCUGAGCUACCUCCAAAAAAGGCCAUCCUCAGCAGCCUAGUUAUGCUCAUCCUGGAAUGCUGUAUUCUGGAUGUCUACUCAAGGCCAAACCCCAAUAUUGCCUUUUUUCCCCUAUUCAAGGCCAAGGCUAGGCUCUCUUCAUUGUCUCCAUUUCUCUUUCUCUAGAGCUCCUAGAGGGCCAGACACUGUUUCUCAUAUAUUUCUGGAUCCUUGGAGCUUAGCUCAGAGCUUGGCAUACAUGCCCAGUGUGAACUUUUCUGAAUAAAAUAAUUUCAAAUGCUGUA